AAUUCUCAACCUUUCAAGCUUUGCUUUUAAAGCUGGCCAGGUUUGGAUCUUGGGAGUUUGCCGGUUCUAGCGAGUCGGCUCUUCUUAAAUGCAUUAGCAAGAUUAAUCACCGUAUUGUCUUUGAUAUGAUAAUUAUCUAUAUCAUUAAUGAAACGAGUGUUUUCCUUCAUCGGAAAGAUCUAGCUUUCUAAUCGUCUUUCGAGACAAUGAUAUUGAAUC
rnacentral:misc_RNA from 1 species